CCCUGUGGGAGCGGAGCGCAGAUCAGCACCGGGCGACUCGGCCCUCCUCCUCUCCUCCCUCCCCCUUAACCCCGGUCCUCCCCGCCUCCAACUGGGCAGAGCGCGCCUGCGGGUGGGCUCUGGAAGCCAAGUGCAAACCCUCCAACACAAAGUUCACGGCCACCGGGGCAGGGCCUGGCUGGGCAGGGCGCUCCGGGCAGCAGCUGCCCCCCGCAGGCCCGCGCCGGGACAGCGCGGUCCUCAGCCUGGAGGCCGCUCGGGGACCCCGCCGAGCCGCGGGCCCACCUGUGACGAGUUCACAGAGUGGUCACCUAGUGUGCACGAAGCCCCAGGACCCAUCCCCAACAUUGCAUUAACUAGGCAUACUGGCCAAGCCUGUAAUCCCAGCACUCUAGAGGUGGAGACCGAAGACUCAAAAGUUCAAGGAUUACAGAGACACAACACUGCUUCUCAUUUAACACUAUCUUCUUGCUGAAUGGUCUGGGACAUUUCCUGCUCUAAGCCACUCAGGUACCAGCACCUGAUCUGUGGGCUUGGUUACCCACUCAAGUGUCAGCACCGUGGACCACCUCGUCUGUGCACGGGGUACCCAGGUUGAAAUGAGACAGUCACCUGCUUUCGGAGCGGAUGUGGUCAGAUGCCUGCCUGCCUGCCUGCCUGCCUGCCGCCAUGCUUCUCACCGUGAUGCUCUGGGACGAGUCUCUGAAACCGUAGUCUCCCCAUAAACUCUGCUUCUACAAAUCACGUUAGUGCCUAAAUAUGUCGCCUUGGUCAGGUGUUCUACCUCAGCAACGGACAAGUAACGAAUGACGCUCAAAGGAGAGACUCGAGUGUCUUAGUAUUAAGUUGUCAUCAUUUUGGUUACUCUCAAGUUACAUCUCAAAGGCUCACUAAAGAUUCUCUCUCCCUCACCCCUCCUCCACCUCUCCCUUGUUCCUCUCUGAGAUGAGGUCCCAUGUAACCAAAGAUGACCUUGAACUUCUAAUCCUCCUGCCUUCACCUCCCAAGCGCUGGGCUCACAGCUCUGCACCACCACACAGUUGGUGGUGUUGAAGCCGGGACUCAGGGCUUCGUGAUGAUGGAGGCCAAACAUGCUACCAAUUGCGCCAUACCCCACCCGGCUAGUUUUUGAUAAACGAUUCCACAGGAUAGCUAUGGAGGUAACUUGCAUGGAGUCGAACUCUGAUAAGGUGAAACAGGGAAGCCCUGUGGCUGCACGGGGCUUUAGCACACACCUUUUACUGUAGUGGAGUUUCUGGGGAGAUUCCUACAAAAUGCAGGUUACAGCUGGGAAGGGAGAAAGGCCUUCAGGAGGUGCGGCUCCUUGUGCUGGAAUUUUUACUUCUUAGCUGGAGAGAGGCUGCAAGCAGGAGCCUGGAGGAGGGAUCGUUUCCGUUCACAGGUCCCCACAAUGUCCCUGGCUUUGUGUCCUUCUCAUUGCAGACAAGAAGUUAAAACUCUAGGUGUGGGGGUUGGGGAUUUAGCUCAGUGGUAGAGCGCUUGCCUAGCAAGCGCAAGGCCCUGGGUUCGGUCCCCAGCUCCGGAAAAACAAAACAAAACAAAACACUGCAUUAAAAAAACUCCAGGUGUGGAGGGCCUCAUUCCCUCCAAAGGUUCUUGGAAACCACCCUUCCCUGUCAUUCUAGAAUAUAGUGACUCCAGGUUCCUGGGCACACGUAACUGAAAUGUCCUUAGCUCUCUCCUCGUGACUCUCUAGGUCCCUUCCUCUUAUAAGGACACCAGGCAUUGUUUGCAUUUAGGGCUCAAGCUUGAUACAGAAUGACAUUGUCAUUUCCACGCACACAUUCCCUUCCCUUACCCCUCCCACAGUGCACCCUUGUAUAGCCAAGAUCCAGCUGCCCCACCGUGUUGCUGGCAUGGCUGGAGCCAAGGUAUUCUAGAGACACACUGUGUCCUCCCUUCAGCUGUUUGGUUAUAGAAACAAUGGUUUCCAGAGAAUUGGAAUCCUCCACAUCCUCACUUCCUAUCCCCACCCCUGCCCAGGAGGAUGGAAAAGUGCCAGCCAGAGGGGGACCAACGUCUGUCCAUCCUGCAGGAGAGAUUAGAAGCCAAGACAAUGUUGGGUCAGUGACUGGAAGGGCCAUACUUUAACCUGGACAGCUUAGCUAUGUGGAACUCUUGACGCCAAUUUAAGCAUAAACCUCAGAAACUGGAGAUGCCUCUCUCGUGAGGAUCUGGGUUCAAUUCCCACCUCCCACUUGGUAGUGGGAGUCACAACCAUUUCUAACUCUAGUCCCAAAGGACCUGAUGCCUUCUUCUGGCUGCUAAGAGAAUCGCAUGAAUGUGGUACACAUAUAUGCAGGCAAGACACCCAUUCACAGAACGUAAAAAUUAAACUAAGGGCUGGAGAGAUGGCUCAGCGGUUGAGAGCACCGACUCCUCUUCCAGAGGUCCUGAGUUCAAAUCCCAGCAACCACAUGGUGGCUCACAACCAUCUGUAAUGGGAUCAGAUGCCCUCUUCUGGUGUAUCUGAAGACAGUUACAGUGUACUUAUAUAUAAUAAAUAAAUACAUCUUGAAAAAAAAAAGUGUGAAGCAUUCACAUUAAAAAAAUAAAUAAAUAAAUAAAAAACUUUUUAAAAUUUUAAAUGAAAAUGAAAAAAAUUAAAACCAUGAUUAUGUCAGGACCAUGGAGGUGGACUUAGGGGCCACCGGACACCUCCAUUACUUCCUUUUCCCAGUGAGGCCACACUGAAUAAAUCCCUUGCCUGC